UACGUAGGGUGCGAGCGUUGUCCGGAAUUAUUGGGCGUAAAGAGCUCGUAGGCGGUGUGUCGCGUCGGCCGUGAAAACCUGGGGCUCAACUCUGGGCGUGCGGUCGAUACGGGCAUCACUUGAGUUCGGCAGGGGAGACUGGAAUUCCUGGUGUAGCGGUGAAAUGCGCAGAUAUCAGGAGGAACACCGGUGGCGAAGGCGGCUCUCUGGGACGGUACUGACGCUGAGACGCGAAAGCGUGGGGAGCGAACAGG
rnacentral:rRNA from 1 species